UACGUAGGGGGCAAGCGUUGUCCGGAUUUAUUGGGCGUAAAGAGCUCGUAGGCGGCUUGUCGCGUCGUCCGUGAAAACCCACAGCUCAACUGUGGGCUUGCGGUCGAUACGGGCAGGCUAGAGUUCGGUAGGGGAGACUGGAAUUCCUGGUAUAGCGGUGAAAUGCGCAGAUAUCAGGAGGAACACCAAUUGCGAAGGCAGCUCGCUGGGACGUUACUGACGCUGAGACGCGAAAGCGUGGGGAGCAAACAGG
rnacentral:rRNA from 1 species